GUUCACCCAUGCACAGUUUAUGACAACAGAAAUUCCAAUAAAGAGAAAUUUCUGCAAGUUUAUUCAUUUUAAUCCAAUUCAAAAAUGCACAAAUUUUACAUCAGGUUGAUACUAUUAAUAAUAGGCCUUUACCAGGCUUCAAAUUGAGGAGAGUUUGAAAAAAUAUAUUGCAAGUAAAAAAAAGGUAUUCAAAACACUAUCUAACCUUAAACUUAACCCUAACCACUACUAUCUGAGCAUCUGAUAGAGGCUACAUGAAUUAAACAUGGCUAAGGUUCUUUUUGAAGUCAACUAAAUUUGGAUGUUAUAUUUGUCAGCCUUCAUUGAAAAUACUCAAGGUCAUCCUCGUCCUUCAAUCCAGUCUUGAUAGCGGAAAGUUCCAGGGUUGAUCCAGCAUGUGGCAAAGUCCUAUACACACGUAAAUGGACAAAGAAACCAUCGCCAACAUCAACC